UACAGAGGUCCCAAGCGUUGUUCGGAUUCACUGGGCGUAAAGGGUGCGUAGGCGGUCGGAUAAGUCUGAUGUGAAAUCUUCGAGCUCAACUCGGAAACUGCAUCGGAAACUAUUCGGCUGGAGGAUUGGAGGGGAGACUGGAAUUCCUGGUGUAGCGGUGAAAUGCGCAGAUAUCAGGAGGAACACCGGUGGCGAAGGCGGGUCACUGGACCGGUAUUGACGCUGAGGUGCGAAAGCGUGGGGAGCAAACAGG
rnacentral:rRNA from 1 species